rnacentral:rRNA from 1 species
GAUGAACGCUGGCGGCGUGCCUAAUACAUGCAAGUCGAGCGAACAGACGAGGAGCUUGCUCCUCUGACGUUAGCGGCGGACGGGUGAGUAACACGUGGAUAACCUACCUAUAAGACUGGGAUAACUUCGUGAAACCGGAGCUAAUAACGGAUAAUAUAUUGAACCGCAUGGUUCAAUAGUGAAAGACGGUUUUGCUGUCACUUAUAGAUGGAUCCGCGCCGCAUUAGCUAGUUGGUAAGGUAACGGCUUACCAAGGCAACGAUGCGUAGCCGACCUGAGAGGAUGAUCAGCCACACUGGAACUGAGACACGGUCCAGACUCCUACGGGAGGCAGCAGUAGGGAAUCUUCCGCAAUGGGCGAAAGCCUGACGGAGCCACGCCGCGUGAGUGAUGAAGGUCUUCGGAUCGUAAAACUCUGUUAUUAGGGAAGAACAAAUGUGUAAGUAACUAUGCACGUCUUGACGGUACCUAAUCAGAAAGCCACGGCUAACUACGUG